rnacentral:lncRNA from 1 species
CAAAGUCAGGCCCUUAGUGUGUGGUUUGUAAAUUAUUUUAACCUAAUAGUAUCAUUUUAGACUAUUUCAUCUCUUUCAUUUAACUCUUUUUAAAACAGCUUACUAUCAGAUUUGGUGCCUGGAAACAGCUGUACAAAGACACAGAGAUCCUGUUUUGAAAGGGUAUCUCUUGAAAGCACAUCCUAGUAGCUCUUGUUCUUGUAAGAUAACAUCCACGACCUGGUUUGUUUACAGCUAUUCUAACAAACGUGUUGCAGUCUCGCCUUCUUCCCAAUCCCGCUAGUCUAUCGCACGGGGGGUAGCCUGUGAGGGCUUUUUUCUGGGGCCAGCAGGUGCCGCUACCGAGCUGUGUGCGCCUCUGGGUUUGGGGAUGGUUAAUCACCGACCCAGGUUAAGUGAAACAACCAGCUGAAGAAUUGCAUGGCGGUGGCUGUUGAUUUUUCCCAAACGAGCGGCACUUUCAGUUCCAGUCUGGACCUGGAGAGCGGGGGAUGCAUUAAAUCCCGGGGAGAGGGGGGUGAUUCCGAUCCAUGCUGCUUCCUUCAGAAGAUGAGAGCCCCCUCCCCGAUCUGCAGGCAGCGGGGGCAGGAGCAGCAGCGGGGAGCCGACUUGGCCUUGGAGAUAUCAAUCUCCGACUGUAAAGAUAAACAUGAAAGCUUGAUGGGACUCUUAAGAUCACUGAGUGGAAAAUCAGGAAACUGUGUGUGAAAUUGGAAGGUGACCAAG